rnacentral:rRNA from 1 species
AUUGAACGCUGGCGGCAUGCUUUACACAUGCAAGUCGAACGGCAGCGCGGGCUUCGGCCUGGCGGCGAGUGGCGAACGGGUGAGUAAUGCAUCGGAACGUGCCCAGUAGUGGGGGAUAGCCCGUCGAAAGCCGGAUUAAUACCGCAUACGACCUGAGGGUGCAAGCGGGGGACCGAAAGGCCUCGCGCUAUUGGAGCGGCCGACGUCGGAUUAGCUAGUUGGUGGGGUAAAGGCUUACCAAGGCGACGAUCCGUAGCUGGUCUGAGAAGACGACCAGCCACACUGGGACUGAGGCACGGCCCAGACUCCUACGGGAGGCAGCAGUGGGGAAUUUUGGACAAUGGGGGCAACCCUGAUCCAGCCAUGCCGCGUGCGAGAAGAAGGCCUUCGGGUUGUGAACCGCUUUUGUUCGGGAAGAAAUCCUCUGGGCUAAUACCCCGGGGGGAUGACGGUACCGGAAGAAUAAGCACCGGCUAACUACGUG